rnacentral:rRNA from 1 species
GUUUGAUCCUGGCUCAGAUUGAACGCUGGCGGCAUGCUUUACACAUGCAAGUCGAACGGGCUUGGGGGCUUGCUCCCAAGUUAGUGGCGAACGGGUGAGUAAUACAUCGGAACGUACCGUGUAGUGGGGGAUAACGUAGCGAAAGUUACGCUAAUACCGCAUACGAUCUACGGAUGAAAGCAGGGGACCUUCGGGCCUUGUGCUAUACGAGCGGCCGAUGUCUGAUUAGCUAGUUGGUGAGGUAAAGGCUCACCAAGGCGACGAUCAGUAGCGGGUCUGAGAGGAUGAUCCGCCACACUGGGACUGAGACACGGCCCAGACUCCUACGGGAGGCAGCAGUGGGGAAUUUUGGACAAUGGGCGAAAGCCUGAUCCAGCCAUGCCGCGUGUCUGAAGAAGGCCUCGG